AGGACUGUAGUUAAGUAUAACAUUUGGUUUGCAUCCAAAAAGUAUUGAUAUUCAAUCUGUCUUA
rnacentral:tRNA from 1 species